rnacentral:lncRNA from 1 species
AAGAAACCCUUUCUCUCCAGACUGCUUUGCCACAGUGUUUUUGCCACAGUGAUGGAGACCUAACAUGUCAAGUGUGAUUUAUCGUCAUCUUCCGACUCAAAUCUUUCAUCUAGUAAUGCAAUGAAUGUCCACCCACCUAAUCAGUGACUGACAUAUGCACAGUACCAAAUAAUGCUGACAACAAGACAGAACUGGAAAGUAUUCUAGAGGCAAAAAUGUAAAUGAGAGCGCAUCUGAACAUAGCCUUUAACUGGGCUAGCAGCAGUGCUGGUCUCAGAGACUGAGCAAAGCGUGUGAAAUUGAUUUGUUUCUGCAAAUUUUAGUGUGCAUGACCACAUCUACC